GAAAUAUGCUUACUUACAUUUUCUACCUUGGCCUUUUCCUUACUUACAACUGAAGGACAACUGUCAUGUUCUACGGUGAAGAGUGUGCCGCUUAAAAAGGAUGCCCUGUCGGGGAGAUGGUUCACAUAUGCGAAAUCCGAAAGCUAUGAGCCUUAUUUAAAAGAAAACUGUCAGUCCAAGCAAUUUUUAGUAACGCAACGUGUAUUGCACAUGCUGCCUCUUGUUGCAACGAAGCCAGAUGGCUUGAUGCGUGCCAUCGGCGUCGAUUACAAGAAUUAUGUUGUGGUUAUACAAUGCUCGAAGGAUAAUCGUGGCUGCUGUGGCCAUCAUAUACACGCGGGCAUUAAGUCCAGCUCCAGCGACUGUUGAAAGUGCCACAAAACAACUGAAGGAUAUUAACUACAGAC